rnacentral:lncRNA from 1 species
CGUACACAAAAGUAAAUUCUACAAGGAUUUCAGUGCUAAAUGUAAAAAGUAGAACUUUACAAAUAGGAAACUAUCUUUCCAGAGUAAGGAAGAAUCUUUAAAUUUCCCCAAAAGGUCUAACCCCCAAAUUAAAGACUGAUAAUUUGAGAAUACCUGUUUGAAAGGAAGGGAAGGAGGGAGAUAAACAUAAAUAGUAUGGAAGGAAAACCAAAUAGAGGAAAAUACCAUUGUAGCACAUAGAUCUGAACAAGAACUAUUAACCAGAAUCUGUAAGGCACCCUACAAACAGAGAUUCUCUGUAAUCAGGGAAAUGGAACUCAGCUCUACCAUUUCACAUGCACUAGCUUGCAUGAAUGAGGAUGUACAAGCAGCAAGCAUUGAGAGGUGGCCCCCGGGCAGGGCCACCGUGAGUUUAAGUUUGCAGGUGGUUCAGGUACUCAGGAAAUGAUGUAGGGCUGCAUGUUUAAGGGUGCAGGUGCAGCCUAGCCUAGAGAUAUUCUUACACAGUGUUCUGGAAGCAUGUGCUACAAUGUCCCUAGCAACACUCUUUGCAAAGGCUAAAACUUAGGAACAGUCUGGCAGGAUAGAGGGUAAAUAAAGUAUAAAAUAUCUAUACCCAUGAAGUUGAUGACCCACAGCCACAUCUCACAUUGUGGACUCUUCUUCUAAAGGUAAUAACAGGUGAAAAAUUCAGGUGUCAAGGAAUAUAAAUGUCACAAAAUCACUUUUAAAAAAAUAAAAAUAAAACUAUAUAAAGACAUAAGAAAGAAAAUCACAGAGAAUAUUAAAAGCAAACUCCAAAGAGGCCACUGGCUCUGAAUGUGUUGGUGUGCAGGCAGAUGCCCC